rnacentral:other from 1 species
AUGUUCGAAAUCAACCUGAUGAUUUUCAGACAAACCCAUUCCCCUGAGUAGCGUAAAGAAUUGCUGUGUGUAGUCUUUGCCCAUCCCCUGUGAUGGGCUUUUUUUUGC